rnacentral:rRNA from 1 species
GCGUAUCAAUAAGCGGAGGAAAAGAAACUAACAAGGAUUCCCCUAGUAACGGCGAGUGAAGUGGGAAAAGCUCAACUUUGUAAUCUGGCAGCUUCGCUGUCCGAGUUGUAGUCUCGAGAAAUGUUUUCCGCGCUGGCAUGUGUAUGAGUCUGUUGGAAUACAGCGUCAUAGAGGGUGAGAACCCCGUUCAUGACACAUCUCCCAGUGCUUUGUGAUACAUUUUCGAUGAGUCGAGUUGUUUGGGAAUGCAGCUCAAAAUGGGUGGUAAAUUCCAUCUAAAGCUAAAUAUUGGCGAGAGACCGAUAGCAAACAAGUACCGUGAGGGAAAGAUGAAAAGCACUUUGGAAAGAGAGUUAAAAGUACGUGAAAUUGUUGAAAGGGAAACGCUUGAAGUCAGACGUGCGCAGUGCGAUUCAGCUCUAUUUCGGUAGAGUGUAUUUCGUGCUAUUGCAGGCCAGCAUCGGUUUUGCGAGCCGGAUAAAGGUUAGUAGAAGGUAGCAUCUUCGGAUGUGUUAUAGCUUCUAACUGAAUACGGAUUGCGAGACCGAGGGACGCAGCACGGCGCAAGCCAGAAGAUUCGUCUUCUUCGUGCUUAGGAUGCUGGUGAAAUGGCUUUAAACGACCCGUCUUGAAACACGGACC